rnacentral:rRNA from 1 species
GUGAGGAAUUUUCCGCAAUGGGCGAAAGCCUGACGGAGCAAUGCCGCGUGAAGGAUGAAGGCCUAUGGGUUGUAAACUUCUUUUCUCAGAAAAGAAUUAUGACGGUAUCUGAGGAAUAAGCAUCGGCUAACUCUGUGCCAGCAGCCGCGGUAAGACAGAGGAUGCAAGCGUUAUCCGGAAUGAUUGGGCGUAAAGCGUCUGUAGGUUGUUUAAAAAGUAUUCUGUCAAAGAUUAGGGCUUAACCCUAGAUAGGCAGAAUAAACUUUUAAGCUAGAGUUUGGUAGAGGCAGAGGGAAUUCCCGGUGGAGCGGUGAAAUGCGUAGAUAUCGGGAGGAACACCAAAGGCGAAGGCACUCUGCUGGGCCAAUACUAACACUGAGAGACGAAAGCGAGGGGAGCAAAUGGGAUUAGAUACCCGAGUAGUCC